rnacentral:rRNA from 1 species
GAUGAACGCUGGCGGCGUGCUUAACACAUGCAAGUCGAACGGAAAGGCUCCUGCUUGCAGGGGUACUCGAGUGGCGAACGGGUGAGUAACACGUGGGUGAUCUGCCCUGCACUUCGGGAUAAGCCUGGGAAACUGGGUCUAAUACCGGAUAGGACCACAUUUUGGAUGGUGUGGUGGAAAGUUUUUCGGUGUGGGAUGAGCUCGCGGCCUAUCAGCUUGUUGGUGGGGUAAUGGCCUACCAAGGCGGCGACGGGUAGCCGGCCUGAGAGGGUGUACGGCCACAUUGGGACUGAGAUACGGCCCAGACUCCUACGGGAGGCAGCAGUGGGGAAUAUUGCACAAUGGGCGCAAGCCUGAUGCAGCGACGCCGCGUGGGGGAUGACGGCCUUCGGGUUGUAAACUCCUUUCGCUAGGGACGAAGCGCAAGUGACGGUACCUGGAGAAGAAGCACCGGCUAACUACGUG